AUGUCCGGCUUCGUCGGGGUCGUCGUCUCCGACCCCUCCCUGCAGGGCCAGUUCACGCAGGUCGAGCUCCGAUCGCUCAAGGCCAAGUUCGUGUCUCUGAAGAGGGACUCCGGCCAUGUCACCACCAAGAACCUCCCGGGGUUGAUGAAGAAGCUGAGGGGACUUCACGAAGUGGUCCCCGAGGAGGAGAUCGCCGCCUUCUUGUCGGAGUCGUACCCCGACAGCGACCAGGAGAUUGAGUUCGAGUCCUUCCUCCGGGAGUACCUGAAUCUGCAAGCAAGGGUGAGCGCCAAGGAAGGAAGCGCCGCUGUCAGCGGCGGUGGCGGGGCUGGCGGCCGCAAGAAUUCGUCGUCGUUCCUCAAAUCCACCAUCACUACGCUGCUGCACAAUCUCAACCAGGCGGAGAAGUCUUCUUAUGUGGCACAUAUUAACACUUACCUUGGUGAAGAUCCAUUCUUGAAGAAGUACUUGCCAAUCGACCCAUCCGGCAACCAGCUAUUCGAUCUUAUUAGGGAUGGCGUCCUGCUCUGUAAGUUGAUCAAUGUAGCUGUACCUGGGACCAUUGAUGAGAGAGCAAUAAAUAAGAAAAGAGUUCUUAACCCAUGGGAGAGGAAUGAAAACCACACACUGUGCCUCAACUCUGCAAAGGCCAUUGGAUGUACUGUUGUUAACAUUGGCACCCAGGAUUUAGUGGAAGGAAGGCCUCAUUUAGUUCUUGGAUUAAUAUCUCAAAUCAUAAAGAUUCAACUUUUGGCUGAUCUUAAUCUUAAGAAGACACCCCAGCUUGUGGAAUUGUUUGAUGACAGUAAGGAUAUAGAUGAGGUGUUGAGCUUGUCACCAGAAAAGAUGCUGCUUCGAUGGAUGAACCAUCAUCUGAAAAAGGCUGGCUACAAGAAAACUGUUAACAAUUUCUCUUCGGAUGUGAAGGAUGGUGAAGCCUAUGCUUAUCUUCUAAAAGCUCUUGCUCCAGAGACUUCCCCUGAAACCACACUGGAGACUAAGAAUCCUGAUGAAAGGGCAAAAAUGGUACUUGAACAAGCAGAGAAGUUGGACUGCAAAAGAUACCUUACACCAAAGGAUAUUACUGAGGGUUCUGCCAACUUGAAUCUUGCAUUUGUUGCACAAAUAUUCCAGCAUCGGAAUGGUCUAACUAGUGACAUUAAACAAGUUACACUCACACAGUCAGCAUCACGUGAUGAUGUUCUAGUAUCCAGAGAAGAAAGGGCCUUCCGAAUGUGGAUCAACAGCCUUGGGGUCGAGUCAUACCUGAAUAAUGUUUUUGAAGAUGUUCGCAAUGGAUGGGUACUUCUUGAAGUACUUGACAAAGUUUCUCCUGGAUCUGUCAAUUGGAAGUUGGCAUCAAAACCUCCAAUUAAAUUGCCAUUUAGGAAACUGGAGAACUGCAAUCAAGUUGUCAAAAUUGGGAAGGAGUUAAAGUUUUCAUUAGUAAAUUUAGCUGGGAAUGAUAUUGUUCAGGGAAAUAAGAAAUUGAUAGUUGCACUUCUGUGGCAAUUGAUGAGAUUUAAUAUCCUUCAAUUGCUAAACAGACUGAGAUCCCACUCCAAAGGAUCCCAAGGAAAGCAAAUUACUGAUGCAGAUAUACUGAACUGGGCAAACAGCAAAGUGAAAGCAUCAGGAAGAACAUCUCGAAUGGAAAGCUUCAAGGAUAAGAGCUUAUCAAAUGGAGUGUUCUUCCUCGAACUUCUUAGUGCAGUUCAGCCAAGGGUUGUGAACUGGAAAGUAGUUACAAAGGGAGAAGCUGACGAGGAAAAGAAGCUAAAUGCUACCUACAUCAUUAGUGUUGCAAGAAAGCUCGGAUGUUCUGUGUUUCUACUGCCAGAGGACAUCAUAGAGGUGAACCAGAAGAUGAUCCUAACUCUUACAGCUAGCAUCAUGUAUUGGAGCCUGCUGAGACAACCACAGCCUGAAAUAUCAGAAGCAUCAGAGCCAUCCAGCAUGGCUUCGGACGCAACUUCCGACAUUGGCUCGGAGGAUGGUGCCUCAACAGCGGCACCGUCCGAGAGCGAAGAGGCAAACUCACUGUCCGACAGUCUAUCCACCCUGACCACAGACGACGCCACCUCAAAUGCUCCACCUGCAGAAAACGGGAACGGCGCCACCCCAGAUGCUCCACCUGCAGAAAACGGGAACGACGCCACCCCAGAUGCUCAACCUGCAGAAAACGGGAACGCCGCCACCCCAGAUGCCCCACCUGCAGAAAAUGGGAACGAUGCCACAUGA
rnacentral:rRNA from 1 species